GGCCAGACUCCUACGGGAGGCAGCAGUAGGGAAUCUUUCACAAUGGGGGAAACCCUGAUGCAGCAACGCCGCGUGAGUGAAGAAGUAUUUCGGUAUGUAAAGCUCUCUCAGCAGGGAAGAAAAUGACGGUACCUGACUAAGAAGCCCCGGCUAACUACGUGCCAGCAGCCGCGGUAAUACGUAGGGGGCAAGCGUUAUCCGGAUUUACUGGGUGUAAAGGGAGCGUAGACGGCUGUGCAAGCCAGAUGUGAAAGCCCGGGGCUCAACCCCGGGACUGCAUUUGGAACUGUGUGGCUGGAGUGUCGGAGAGGCAGGCGGAAUUCCUAGUGUAGCGGUGAAAUGCGUAGAUAUUAGGAGGAACACCAGUGGCGAAGGCGGCCUGCUGGACGAUGACUGACGUUGAGGCUCGAAAGCGUGGGGAGCAAACAGGAUUAGAUACCCUUGUA
rnacentral:rRNA from 1 species